AGUUUUGCGCAGUGGCAGUAUCGUAGCCAAUGAGGUUUAUCCGAGGAGCGAUUAUUGCUAAUUAAAAUACUGUCAUUUUUUCCCAUGUAUUUAAUUUUCUACGUUUAAGAUUUAAUCUCUGUUUUUUAAUAUGUUGG